rnacentral:rRNA from 1 species
UACAGAGGUCUCAAGCGUUGUUCGGAUUCAUUGGGCGUAAAGGGUGCGCAGGCGGCGCUGUAAGUCGGGUGUGAAAUCUCGGAGCUUAACUCCGAAACUGCAUUCGAUACUGCCGUGCUUGAGGACUGGAGAGGAGACUGGAAUUUACGGUGUAGCGGUGAAAUGCGUAGAUAUCGUAAGGAAGACCAGUGGCGAAGGCGGGUCUCUGGACAGUUCCUGACGCUGAGGCACGAAGGCCAGGGGAGCAAACGGG